ACCGAUGGGCAGACGGACAGGGAGAGGCAGCACGGCGACGGGCAGAGAAAUGGGCAAACUGGGAGCUCGCUCUCUCUCUUCAACCCCUUCUGGUUUCUGGCCGGCAGCCAGCUCCUCCAUCAACAGCACUCAGAGAAAUGGAGAUGGAGGAGGGGCGGUGAGGGACGGGAGCUGGAGUCCAGCGGGAGGAGACGCCGAGGCGGCGAGCGGGAGAAGCAGGAAGUGUGAUGGACACAGAGAUGGACGGCUGCCAACAACGGGACGCAAAGUGGGCGAGGACGUGGAAUGGUUGCUGGCUACGGACGGGGAGGGGGUGGAGUUACAUACACACACGCAGCCGACUGACAGGCUGCCACCCCCCAAAAGAAAGAUCGCCACCGCUGCCAGAUAGUGACGGAGCGAGGAGGAGAGAGUGAGCGACGGAUGGAUGGAAGUACGUUGGGGGGCCGAGGGGACAAACGCCGCUUUAAGGAAGUAUUUCUGCGACCGCCUUCCGUCGGAUGACACCGAUUUCCCAAAAUGGUGGACGCUUAUCCCAAAAUAAAUUGAAGCAGAGAGAACUGUGGCCAGAUCUUGUGUAUAGCAGAGCAAGAACUAUUAGCUCAUUCAUAAAUGAGACAAAAUUGAUGUUACGUUUUCCAUAAUUGUUGUUUUUUUUAUUCCCAUUCUCUGGUACAAGAUUCUCAAAUGUGGACAUUUUCUGCUAUUCUUAGCAGAACUAUUGUACAGUAAAUACAUUUUCCUAUUUUCUGACAUUCUGUCGACUAAACGGAAAAACUCAUUGACAAAAGAAUAGUUGCUAAUAAAAAAAAUAGUUGGCGGCACCCGA